rnacentral:lncRNA from 1 species
CAAUGAAAGCAGUUAUCCCCUGAGAGGCUGGAACAGCAUUAAGGUCAGUUUUGGCAUAAACGAUGAGAACAUCUGCAUCUGGCCCAUUGGUGAUCCAAAAUUUGUUCCCAUUCAAAACAUAGUAGUCCCCUUUCUUGUCUGCCUUCAGCUUCAUGGACACAACAUCAGACCCAGCAUUGGGCUCGCUCAUUGCUAAGGCUCCAAUGUGCUCCCCACUAAUGAGCUUGGGCAAGUACUUCUCUUUCUGGGCUUCACUGCCAUUCCGCACCAGCUGGUUGAUACAAAGGUUUGAGUGGGCUCCGUAACUAAGCCCAACAGCUGCUGAUGCACGGGAAACUUCCUCCAUCACCAGCACGUGGUCCAGAUAGCCCAGAGCAGAUCCACCAUAUUCCACAGGAGCUGUGAUCCCCAGAACUCCCAGUUCCCCAAGUUUCUUCCAGAACUCCCGCAUGCCUUUGAAUUCAUUCUCCUGGUCAAUUUGUUGGGCCUUUGGAGCCAAAUGCUCUUGACAGAACUUUGUCAUGGUCUGUCUAAGCUGCCGCUGCUCGUCGCUCAGCCCGUUCACCGUGUCGUCCACCGCCAGCCCCGCGAAGCCUCGCCGCAGCAAGGCUUGGCGCUGCCUGGCUCCGCGCAGCGCCGAGCACAGAGCGGCUCUGCCGAGCACCGCCGCCGCCAUGGUUGCCCCGGGCCGCUCCCGGCGCGCAGGCGCGGCCCUAUCCCGGGGAGAGCCCCGGCCCGCCCAACGCGCCGGGAGGGGCAGGAGGGGGCGGCAGAGGGCAGCGCCAGGGCGGUGGAGCUCCUGCACCGCGCUGCCUGAGGGUAGAACAGCGAAUGCGUGUGUCUUUCUAACGCGUUUAAUCAAAAAUACAUAAUACAAGGAAAUAAAACGCUGGUGGAUUGAAGCAGACGAGCCGUCGGCAAGGUUUGCAGUAAGGAAAUCCGGGCUAAGCCCCAGCAGGCAGUUAAAGAGCUGUGAGCACCUGACUCCUGUGCAGCCAGCCAUCGCUGCUCACCUUGCCCCACUGCCGUCCUGCGGGCGUUACCUGCGCCCAGGGCCAGCCUGCCCAGCUUCCUGUUCUAGACAUAAGAACGAGGUUUGCCAAAUAGUGACUGUGCAGUCCGCCCUCGUGCCUCACUGAGCCAGGAGCUGCUCCAGCUGAUCGAGGGCUGCUGAGCACUCCUUCAUCUCUUCCUGAAAGGAUGAAUGCUUCUCCAGGGAGCGCUGUCUGUCUUCUUCUGCCGAUUCCCACUUGGCCAUCGCUGCCUGAAGUGCCUCCUUUUCCUUUUCAGCUGUUUCAUUAAAGAGCCUCAAUUCUGCUAUGAGCUUCUCAGUUAAAAGCGCUGUCUGCUUCUGGCAUUCCUGUGUUUUCUCCUCUUCCUCCAAAAUGUUGCUGCCUGUAACAGGAUCAAUGUUUCUGCUUUCUAAAAUCACCAUGCAAGUCUCCUGAAAUUUCUUGAGCUUUUCAACUUCUUGCAGCAGGCCUUCAUUCUCCUCCUUUAACUCCUUUAUAGUGCCC